GACAGAGGGUGCGGACGUUGCUCGGAAUCAUUGGGCGUAAAGCGCGUGUAGGCGGCAUGGCACGUCGGGUGUGAAAGCCCGGGGCUCAACCCCGGCAGUGCACCCGAAACGACGAUGCUAGAGUGCUGGAGAGGCGGGUGGAAUUCCCGGUGUAGAGGUGAAAUUCGUAGAUAUCGGGAGGAACACCGGUGGCGAAGGCGACCCGCUGGCCAGCGACUGACGCUGAGACGCGAAAGCGUGGGGAGCAAACAGG
rnacentral:rRNA from 1 species